rnacentral:rRNA from 1 species
UACGGGAGGCAGCAGUGGGGAAUAUUGCACAAUGGGCGCAAGCCUGAUGCAGCCAUGCCGCGUGUAUGAAGAAGGCCUUCGGGUUGUAAAGUACUUUCAGUCGUGAGGAAGGUGUUAAGGUUAAUAACCUUAGCAAUUGACGUUAGCGACAGAAGAAGCACCGGCUAACUCCGUGCCAGCAGCCGCGGUAAUACGGAGGGUGCGAGCGUUAAUCGGAAUUACUGGGCGUAAAGGGCACGCAGACGGUUAAUUAAGUUGGAUGUGAAAUCCCCGGGCUUAACCUGGGAAUGGCAUUCAAGACUGGUUAGCUAGAGUCUUGUAGAGGGGGUAGAAUUCCGAUGUGUAGCGGUGAAAUGCGUAGAGAUGUGGAGGAAUACCGGUGGCGAAGGCGGCCCCUGGGACAAAGGCUGACGCUCAUGUGCGAAAGCGUGGGGAGCAAACAGGGAUUAGAUACC